rnacentral:rRNA from 1 species
UACGUAGGGUCCAAGCGUUAAUCGGAAUUACUGGGCGUAAAGCGUGCGCAGGCGGUUCGUUAAGUCAGCUGUGAAAGCCCCGGGCUCAACCUGGGAAUUGCGGUUGAAACUGGCGAACUAGAAUCUGGCAGAGGGGGGUGGAAUUCCACGUGUAGCAGUGAAAUGCGUAGGGAUGUGGAGGAACACCGAUGGCGAAGGCAGCCCCCUGGGCUGAGAUUGACGCUCAGGCACGAAAGCGUGGGGAGCAAACAGG